rnacentral:tRNA from 1 species
GAGGGAAUAGUUCAGUGGUAGAGUGCGUGCUUAGCAUGCAUGAGGUCCAGGGUUCAGUCCCUAGUCCCUCC